GGACGAACGCUGGCGGCGUGCUUAACACAUGCAAGUCGAACGAUGAACCACUUCGGUGGGGAUUAGUGGCGAACGGGUGAGUAACACGUGGGCAAUCUGCCCUUCACUCUGGGACAAGCCCUGGAAACGGGGUCUAAUACCGGAUACGACUACUGAGGGCAUCCUUGNGUGGUGGAAAGCUCCGGCGGUGAAGGAUGAGCCCGCGGCCUAUCAGCUUGUUGGUGAGGUAACGGCUCACCAAGGCGACGACGGGUAGCCGGCCUGAGAGGGCGACCGGCCACACUGGGACUGAGACACGGCCCAGACUCCUACGGGAGGCAGCAGUG
rnacentral:rRNA from 1 species